AUUGAACGCUGGCGGCAGGCUUAACACAUGCAAGUCGAGCGGUAGCACAAGAGAGCUUGCUCUCUGGGUGACGAGCGGCGGACGGGUGAGUAAUGUCUGGGAAACUGCCUGAUGGAGGGGGAUAACUACUGGAAACGGUAGCUAAUACCGCAUAACGUCGCAAGACCAAAGAGGGGGACCUUCGGGCCUCUUGCCAUCAGAUGUGCCCAGAUGGGAUUAGCUAGUAGGUGGGGUAAUGGCUCACCUAGGCGACGAUCCCUAGCUGGUCUGAGAGGAUGACCAGCCACACUGGAACUGAGACACGGUCCAGACUCCUACGGGAGGCAGCAGUGGGGAAUAUUGCACAAUGGGCGCAAGCCUGAUGCAGCCAUGCCGCGUGCGUGAAGAAGGCCUUCGGGUUGUAAAGCACUUUCAGCGAGGAGGAAGGUGGUGAACUUAAUACGUUCAUCAAUUGACGUUACUCGCAGAAGAAGCACCGGCUAACUCCGUGCCAGCAGCCGCGGUAAUACGGAGGGUGCAAGCGUUAAUCGGAAUUACUGGGCGUAAAGCGCACGCAGGCGGUUUGUUAAGUCAGAUGUGAAAUCCCCGGGCUCAACCUGGGAACUGCAUUUGAAACUGGCAAGCUAGAGUCUCGUAGAGGGGGGUAGAAUUCCAGGUGUAGCGGUGAAAUGCGUAGAGAUCUGGAGGAAUACCGGUGGCGAAGGCGGCCCCCUGGACGAAGACUGACGCUCAGGUGCGAAAGCGUGGGGAGCAAACAGGAUUAGAUACCCUGUAGUCCACGCUGUAAACGAUGUCGAUUUGGAGGUUGUGCCCUUGAGGCGUGGCUUCCGGAGCUAACGCGUUAAAUCGACCGCCUGGGGAGUACGGCCGCAAGGUUAAAACUCAAAUGAAUUGACGGGGGCCCGCACAAGCGGUGGAGCAUGUGGUUUAAUUCGAUGCAACGCGAAGAACCUUACCUACUCUUGACAUCCAGAGAACUUUCCAGAGAUGGAUUGGUGCCUUCGGGAACUCUGAGACAGGUGCUGCAUGGCUGUCGUCAGCUCGUGUUGUGAAAUGUUGGGUUAAGUCCCGCAACGAGCGCAACCCUUAUCCUUUGUUGCCAGCGGUUCGGCCGGGAACUCAAAGGAGACUGCCAGUGAUAAACUGGAGGAAGGUGGGGAUGACGUCAAGUCAUCAUGGCCCUUACGAGUAGGGCUACACACGUGCUACAAUGGCAUAUACAAAGAGAAGCGACCUCGCGAGAGCAAGCGGACCUCAUAAAGUAUGUCGUAGUCCGGAUUGGAGUCUGCAACUCGACUCCAUGGAGUCGGAAUCGCUAGUAAUCGUAGAUCAGAAUGCUACGGUGAAUACGUUCCCGGGCCU
rnacentral:rRNA from 1 species